rnacentral:rRNA from 1 species
CCUACGGGAGGCAGCAGUGGGGAAUAUUGCACAAUGGGCGAAAGCCUGAUGCAGCAACGCCGCGUGCGGGAAGAAGGCCUUAGGGUUGUAAACCGCUUUCAGCAGGGAAGAAACUGACGGUACCUGCAGAAGAAGGUGCGGCCAACUACGUGCCAGCAGCCGCGGUAAU